rnacentral:rRNA from 1 species
UAGUAAUGCAAGGCAUACGGCUCAGUAACGCGUAGUCAACCUACCCUAUGGACAAGAAUAAUCUCGGGAAACUGAGCAUAAUUCUUGAUAGAUCAUAAUGCCUGGAAUGGUUUAUGGUUAAAAUGAUUCGUCGCCAUAGGAUGGGACUGCGGCCUAUCAGCUUGUUGGUGAGGUAAUGGCCCACCAAGGCGAUAACAGGUACGGGCUCUGAGAGGAGAAGCCCGGAGAUGGGUACUGAGACAAGGACCCAGGCCCUAUGGGGCGCAGCAGGCGAGAAAACUUUGCAAUGUGCGAAAGCACGACAAGGUUAGUCCGAGUGAUUUCUGCUAAAGAGAUCUUUUGCUAGUCAUAAAACCACUAGUGAAUAAGGGGUGGGCAAGUUCCGGUGUCAGCCGCCGCGGUAAAACCAGCACCUCAAGUGGUCAGGAUGAUUAUUGGGCCUAAAGCAUCCGUAGCCGGCUCUGUAAGUUUUCGGUUAAAUCUAUGCGCUCAACGUAUGGGCUGCCGAAAAUACUGCAUAGAUAGGGAGUGGGAGAGGUAGACGGUACUCGGUAGGAAGGGGUAAAAUCCUUUGAUCUAUCGAUGACCACCUGUGGCGAAGGCGGUCUACCAGAACACGUUCGACGGUGAGGGAUGAAAGCUGGGGGAGCAAACCGGAUUAGAUACCCGGGUAGUCCCAGCUGUAAACGAUGCAGACUCGAUGAUGCAUUGGCAUAUAGCCAGUGCAGUGUCGCAGGGAAGCCGUUAAGUCUGCCGCCUGGGAAGUACGUACGC